CGCCCUUAGAGUUUGAUCCUGGCUCAGGACGAACGCUGGCGGCGUGCCUAAUACAUGCAAGUUGAGCGUUGGUACUUGUACCAAGAGCAGCGAACGGGUGAGUAACGCGUGGGGAAUCUGCCUUUGAGCGGGGGACAACAUUUGGAAACGAAUGCUAAUACCGCAUAAAAACUUAACACAAGUUUAAGUUGAAAGAUGAUUGCAUCACUCAAAGAUGAUCCCGCGUUGUAUUAGCUAGUUGGUGAGGUAAAGGCUCACCAAGGCGAUGAUACAUAGCCGACCUGAGAGGGUGAUCGGCCACAUUGGGACUGAGACACGGCCCAAACUCCUACGGGAGGCAGCAGUAGGGAAUCUUCGGCAAUGGACGAAAGUCUGACCGAGCAACGCCGCGUGAGUGAAGAAGGUUUUCGGAUCGUAAAACUCUGUUGGUAGAGAAGAACGUUGGUGAGGAAACUCAUCAAGUGACGGUAACUACCCAGAAAGGGACGGCUAACUACGUGCCAGCAGCCGCGGUAAUACGUAGGUCCCGAGCGUUGUCCGGAUUUAUUGGGCGUAAAGCGAGCGCAGUGGUUUAUUAAGUCUGGUGUAAAAGGCAGUGGCUCAACCAUUGUAUGCAUUGGAAACUGGUAGACUUGAGUGCAGGAGAGGAGAGUGGAAUUCCAUGUGUAGCGGUGAAAUGCGUAGAUAUAUGGAGG
rnacentral:rRNA from 1 species